UACGAAGGGGGCGAGCGUUGUUCGGAUUUACUGGGCGUAAAGGGCGCGUAGGCGGCGGGUCAAGUCGAGUGUGAAAGCCCCGGGCUCAACCUGGGAAUUGCGCUCGAGACUGGUCUGCUUGAGUUCGGGAGAGGAGAGUGGAAUUCCCAGUGUAGAGGUGAAAUUCGUAGAUAUUGGGAAGAACACCGGUGGCGAAGGCGGCUCUCUGGACCGAGACUGACGCUGAGGUGCGAAAGCGAGGGGAGCAAACAGG
rnacentral:rRNA from 1 species